rnacentral:misc_RNA from 1 species
UACGUAGGGUGCAAGCGUUGUCCGGAUUUACUGGGUUUAAAGGGUACGCAGGCGGGCUAUUAAGUCAGUGGUUAAAGCACACGGCUCAACCGUGGAAAUGCCAUUGAUACUGAUAGUCUUGAGUACAGAUGAGGUGGGCGGAAUUCAUGGUGUAGCGGUGAAAUGCAUAGAUACCAUGAGGAACACCAAUUGCGAAGGCAGCUCACUGGACUGUAACUGACGCUGAGGUACGAAAGCGUGGGUAGCGAACAGG